rnacentral:lncRNA from 1 species
UGAAAACCUUUGAAGAUCAUCUACUCCAACCUCCAUGAGAGAGAUCUGUUUGAAAUUUUGCCAUCUCAACAUUGAUAAAAAGUCAUGGGAUAUGUUUUGCUGGAAAACAGAACACUGGAAGAAAAACUACUGAACCACUCUCCUGUUUUGUACAGAUGGGAUUAGAUAUGCUCUGAUUUGUCUGGAAAAAAAUAAACAGCCAAG